rnacentral:rRNA from 1 species
UGGGGAAUAUUGCGCAAUGGGCGAAAGCUUGACGCAGCGACGCCGCGUGAGGGAUGAAGGUCUUCGGAUCGUAAACCUCUGUCAGCAGGGAAGAACGGUCACUGUGCUAAUCAGCAGUGAAUUGACGGUACCUGCAAAGGAAGCACCGGCUAACUCCGUGCC